AUCUGAUAUUCCAUAUUGAAAUCUACAGUUCAACCAAUUAUUAUACCAAUCUAAAGAAUAUUAAGCAAAUAUCCAAAGAAUUUCAAUUCCACAAUUAAACCUUCAGAACUUACUUUCAUGCUUGAUUUCCUUCAGAUUUCUUCUUGGCCUCCUUCUUAUAGUCCUCCAUUUCUUUCAGCCAGAGAUCUGCAAAUUCACAAUUCUUCCAAGCUUCAAACCAUGGCCCACCACGAGUGUAAUGAAUAGCUUUAGGAAGAGUGGUUAAAUCACCCUCCACACUCUUGUUAUGGCCCUCAAGAAAGUUCCAAACAAAUGGGACUGACCCAAUUUCAUCAUCCUCAAGCCAUUGGAAUCUAUGAAGAAAUGCACCAGUUUGGGUGUUGACAGUCUCAGGUGUCAACACUUUGUUCUUUGGAUGCCCACAAUUGUACAAAACCAUUGAAGACCAAUUCUUCCUUGGGUACACAGUUUGAA
rnacentral:misc_RNA from 1 species